rnacentral:tRNA from 1 species
AUUUAUAUAGUUUAAAUAAAACAUUACAUUUUCACUGUAAAAAUAAUACACAUGUAUUUAUAGAUAU